AUUUAACGAGGCGCGGUGGGGUAGCCUAGUGUUCGCUCAUCACGCAGAAAAAACCGGGUACGAUUCCCCACUUGGGUACAAUGUGGGAAGCCCAUUUCUGGUGUCUCCCGCCGUGAUAUUGCUUGAAUAUUACUAAAAGC